rnacentral:rRNA from 1 species
AGUGAACGCUGGCGGUAGGCCUAACACAUGCAAGUCGAACGGCAGCACAGUAAGAGCUUGCUCUUACGGGUGGCGAGUGGCGGACGGGUGAGGCAUACAUCGGAAUCUACUUUUUCGGGGGGGAUAACGUAGGGCAACUUAUGCUACUACCUCAUACCAUUUACGAGUGAAAGCAGGGGAUCAUCGUACCUUGCGCGAUUGAAUGAGCCGGUGUCCGAUUAGUUAGUUGGCGGGUUAAAGGCCCACCAAGGCGAGGAACCGUAGCUAGUCUGAGAGGAUGAUCAGCCACAUUGGAUCUGAGACACGGUCCAGACUCCUACGGGAGGCAGCAGUGGGGAAUAUUGGAAAAUGGGCGAGAGCCUGAUCCAGCCAUACCGCGUGGGUGAAGAAGGCCUUCGGGUUGUAAAGCCCUUUGUUGGGAAAGAAAAGCAGCAGGUUAAUACCCCGCUGUUCUGACGGUACCCAAAGAAUAAGCACCGGCUAACUUCGUG